AACGCGAAGAACCUUACCUGGAUUUGACAUCUCCUGACACCCGUAGAGAUACGGUUUUCGUAGCAAUACGACAGGAAGACAGGUGCUGCAUGGCUGUCGUCAGCUCGUGUGGUGACAUGUUGGGUUAAGUCCCGCAACGAGCGCAACCCUCGCCCUUAGUUGCCAUCAUUCAGUUGGGCACUCUAAGGGGACUGCCGGUGAUAAGCCGCGAGGAAGGUGGGGAUGACGUCAAGUCCUCAUGGCCCUUACAGGCUGGGCUACACACGUGCUACAAUGGCGGUGACAAUGGGAUGCAAUGGCGCGAGCCUGCGCAAAUCUCAAAAAGCCGUCUCAGUUCGGAUUGCACUCUGCAACUCGAGUGCAUGAAGUUGGAAUCGCUAGUAAUCGCGGAUCAGCACGCCGCGGUGAAUACGUUCCCGGGCCUUGUACACACCGAGUAUA
rnacentral:rRNA from 1 species